GCUUAACCGGAGAAGUGCAUCGGAAACUGGGAGACUUGAGUGCAGAAGAGGACAGUGGAACUCCAUGUGUAGCGGUGGAAUGCGUAGAUAUAUGGAAGAACACCAGUGGCGAAGGCGGCUGUCUAGUCUGUAACUGACGCUGAGGCUCGAAAGCAUGGGUAGCGAACAGGAUUAGAUACCCUGGUAGUCCAUGCCGUAAACGAUGAGUGCUAAGUGUUGGAGGGUUUCCGCCCUUCAGUGCUGCAGCUAACGCAUUAAGCACUCCGCCUGGGGAGUACGACCGCAAGGUUGAAACUCAAAGGAAUUGACGGGGGCCCGCACAAGCGGUGGAGCAUGUGGUUUAAUUCGAAGCUACGCGAAGAACCUUACCAGGUCUUGACAUCUUCUGCCAAUCUUAGAGAUAAGACGUUCCCUUCGGGGACAGAAUGACAGGUGGUGCAUGGUUGUCGUCAGCUCGUGUCGUGAGAUGUUGGGUUAAGUCCCGCAACGAGCGCAACCCUUAUUAUCAGUUGCCAGCAUUCAGUUGGGCACUCUGGUGAGACUGCCGGUGACAAACCGGAGGAAGGUGGGGAUGACGUCAAAUCAUCAUGCCCCUUAUGACCUGGGCUACACACGUGCUACAAUGGACGGUACAACG
rnacentral:rRNA from 1 species